rnacentral:lncRNA from 1 species
AUUAGGUGGUGGAAAGAACUAGACUUUGAAAGGAAGCUGCCUUUUGCAAGAAACAGAAUUGCGGAGUUAUACUGCUGGAUUUUGGGGGUCUAUUUUGAGCCCCAAUACCUUGUUGGAAGAAAAUUUCUCACAAAAAUUAUUGCCCUGAUGUCUGUAAUGGAUGAUAUCUAUGACGCAUUCGGUACAUUUGAAGAACUUGAGAUCUUUACCGAAGCAAUUCAUCAAAGGUUUGAAAUUAUUUAUUAAAAAAAAUUGUUUUGUUUAUAUUUUAUAUGCUUAAGAGGAAUAUGGUGUAUGCAAUUUACAGAUGGCAUGCCAAUUGCAUGGAUGGACUGCCAGAGUACAUGAAAAUAUUCUUCCAUACGCUUUUGAAUGUUUUCAAUGAAAUUGAGGAGGAGAUGGUGAAAGAAGGAAGAGCAUACCGAGCUCACUAUGCAAAAGAAGCGGUAUGUUAAUUAAUUAAAGAAACACACAGCUUAUUAAUUCACUAUUACAAUUAAUUUACAUAAUAUUUAUGUCCCACAUAUGCAGUGGAAAACUAUUACCAAAGCUUACUUUGAUGAGGCCAAAUGGUUCCACGAAGGAUGCAUCCCAAGCAUGGAGGAGUAUAUGCGUGUUGCUGCAACUUCUGCUGCUAGCUUCGCACUUUCAACUACAUCUUUAGUUGGCAUGGGAGAUAUUGUAACCAAGGAGUCCUUUGAGUGGUUGUUCAAUGACCCUAAAAUUCUUAGAGCUUCCAAUAUCAUUGUUAGGCUCAUGGAUGACAUCGUUUCGAGCAAGGUACACAGAAACUAUGUACUAAAUUGUGCUUUAACUAUUACAUAACUUAGGUCUCUCAAUUCAUAACUAUUUCAUCACUUGGAUUCUUUUUUGGGAUUCUGGAUUCCAUUUUUGCAGUUUGAAAAAGAGAGAGGCCAUGUUGCUUGUGCUAUUGACUGUUACAUGAAGCAAUAUGGGGUCUCAGAUGAGCAAGAGAUAAUUGAUGUCUUCAACAAACAAAUUGUGGAUUCGUGGAAGGAUAUCAACGAGGAGUUCCCUAG